rnacentral:antisense_RNA from 1 species
GACGUUAGCAUGGCCGCGGCCCCUGACUGCCCAGCUCGCUUCUAUCCCUCGAGCGGCAGGAAUCCGUCCCCACGCCCUUUUCCUUUAAAGGGCAACGGGCCGAAGGUGGGGCGGGCGGCGCGGCUCCCGCGAUCCAUUCAGGUCAAAAGGGAGAGUGAUCAAACAGGAGAGCCGAGGGGACCUAUAUUCAGAGACUUAACCGGACACCUGGACAGACCAUUACAACUUGGGACUUUUCAGGAGAAUGAGGGAAAUAUAGUUAUUGCACCUGAGCCUCACUCCAGCUCUGAGGUCCUCUUCACUUCUCUUUCGAAGAAGAUUUGAUAUCUUUUCCAAGUUGAAAGAGUAGAGAUCUAAUUUCUCCAAGGGUCAUUGCUUUUUGACACGGGAUUAUUAGAAGCAUUCAUUCAUCUAUCAAGGAGUUUUGGGAUACUUGCCAUAAGCCAAGCCCUCUGAUAGGUGCUGGAAACAUCAAGCUCUGUGCUCAGGAAGUUCACCCCUGGACUCCAUCCGUGAACUCCUUUGCUGUCUUCCCAUUGGAUUCAGCCAGUCCACGGUCCUGGAAGAAGAAAUACUUUCCCAGACAAAUAAAAGCGAGGAAUGUCAUCAACAUCAGACCUGUCUUACAAAAAAUGCUAAAGGAAGUUCUUCAAUCCAAAAGAAAAAGAUGUUAAUGAGCAAAAAGAAAUCAUGUGAAGGUGCAAAACUUACUGGUAUUUGUAAGUACAAAGAAAACAGAAUAUUAUAACGCCGUAACUUACAUGCUGUGGUGUGUAAACUACUCAUAUGUUAAGUAAAAAGAUGAAAAUAUAAAUCAAUUAAAAUAAUAAUUGCAACAACUUUUCAAGAUAUAGACAGUACAAUAAGAUACAAAUAGAAACAACAAAAUGUUAAAAAGCAGGGUUACACAGUUAAGGUGUAAAGGUUUUAUUAGUUUUCCCUUUGCUUCUUUGUUUAUGCAAUCAGUGUUUAGUUGUCAUCAGUUUAAAAUAAUGGGUUAUAGGAUAUUAUUUGCAAACCUUAUGGUGACCUCAAAUCAAAAACAUACAACAGAUACGUGAAAAAUAAAAAGCAAGAAAUUAAAACAUACCACUGGAGAAAAUCACCUUUAGUAACAGAAAGACAGGAAGGAAGGGAAGAAGGAAGAGAAGACCACAAAACAACCAGAAAACUCACAACAAAAUGGCAGGAUUAAGUCUUUAUUUAUCAACAAUAACAUUGAAUGUAAGUGGACUAAACUCUCCAAUCAAAAGACAUAGAGUGGCUAAAUGGAUAACAAAACAAGACUCAAUAAUCUGUGGCCUACAAGAAACACACUUCACCUAUAAAAACGCAUAUAGUUUAAAAAUAAAGGGAUAGAGAAAGCUAUUCCAUGGAAACAGAAA